GACGGAGGGUGCGAGCGUUGUUCGGAAUCACUGGGCGUAAAGGGCGUGUAGGCGGUCCGCUAAGUCUGAUGUGAAAGCCCGGGGCUCACCCCCGGAAGGGCAUUGGAAACUGGCGGACUCGAGUCCCGGAGAGGAAGGUGGAAUUCCUGGUGUAGCGGUGAAAUGCGUAGAUAUCAGGAGGAAUACCGGUGGCGAAGGCGGCCUUCUGGACGGUGACUGACGCUGAGACGCGAAAGCGUGGGGAGCAAACAGG
rnacentral:rRNA from 1 species